rnacentral:rRNA from 1 species
UACAGAGGUGCCAAGCGUUAGGCGGAAUCACUGGGCUUAAAGCGCGCGUAGGCGGAUGUUUAAGUGUCUUGUGAAAUCCCACGGCUCAACCGUGGAACUGCUGGGCAUACUGGACAUCUCGAGGCACUCAGGGGCGAGCGGAACAAGUGGUGGAGCGGUGAAAUGCGUAGAUAUCACUUGGAACGCCAAUGGUGAAGACAGCUCGCUGGGGGUGUCCUGACGCUGAGGCGCGAAAGCUAGGGGAGCAAACGGG